rnacentral:rRNA from 1 species
GGCGACCGGCCGCACGGGUGAGUAACGCGUAUGUAAUCUACCUGUAACAGGGGGAGUAACCCGGAGAAAUCCGGACUAAUACCUCAUAGCACAUAUUAUUCGCAUGAAUUUUAUGUUAAAGAGACUCGGUUACAGAUGAACAUGCGUUCCAUUAGCUAGUUGGCGGGGUACGGGCCCACCAAGGCAACGAUGGAUAGGGGUUCUGAGAGGAAGGUCCCCCACAUUGGAACUGAGACACGGUCCAA